AUACGGAGGAUCCGAGCGUUAUCCGGAUUUAUUAGGUUUAAAGGGUGCGCAGGCGGAACUGUAAGUCACCGGUGAAAUCCUACAGCUUAACUGUAGAACUGCCGGUGAUACUGCGAUUCUUGAGUAUAGUUGAGGUAGGCGGAAUGUGUAGUGUAGCGGUGAAAUGCAUAGAUAUUACACAGAACACCGAUUGCGAAGGCAGCUUACUAAACUAUUACUGACGCUCAUGCACGAAAGCGUGGGGAGCGAACAGGAUUAGAAACCCGAGUAGUCC
rnacentral:rRNA from 1 species